CUCAGCUACCUGGGCCUGUGGUCACAGACCUUAUAAGUUGGGGUGAUUCAUAUCCACUCAUAUUCACAGCAACAUUCACAAUCCCAGGACUGCUCCCAGAUCAUCACAGUCUAUUUCUGAAGGUGGUGACCCCAAUGCCAUUGCUAUGGGGCAUCCGGGAACGUAUGUCCCUCCAGUGUCUGCUGAGCCACUGGUACAUGCAACAGUUCCAUUGUUAGGCAGCGGAAUCCAGGGCACCACCGUAGCCAACUGAUUGAAGCUAGCAUUAUCACUAUUGGGACAAAACUGUAUCACAUGCCUCUUGAUAUGAUAUACUAUGAAAGAUGCUACAUCACUUUGAUGAUAUCCUGCCAAAAAUGCAUAACCUGAAUCUAAUCAUGAGGAAACAUCAGAAAAACCAAGUUGAGUGAAAUUCUACAAAAUAAUUGGUCUAUACUCUUCAAAUAUGUCAAGGAUAAAAAACACAAAGAAAAUAUGAGAAACUAAUCCAGAUUAAAGGAGAUUUAAAGGACCAGACAAUUAAGUGCAAAGCAUAACUCUGAAUGGAGAUGGAAUAAAAGAACUCUAAGGCAGAGGUUGGCAAACCAGUUCUGUGAAGAGCCAGAUAGUAAAUAUUUUAGGCUGUAUGGACCAUAUGGUCUAUGUUGCAACUUUUCAACUCUGUGAUUAUAGUGUGAAAGCAGCCAUAGACAGCACGUAAACAAAUGGGUUUGGUUUUGUUCCAAUAAAACCUUAUUUGAAAACAGA